rnacentral:rRNA from 1 species
AUUGAACGCUGGCGGCAGGCCUAACACAUGCAAGUCGAACGAGUGGCGGACGGGUGAGUAAUUCUUGGGAAUCUAGCUUAUGGAGGGGGAUAACUACGGGAAACUGUAGCUAAUACCGCGUACCAUAGGCUGAGCCCAAGUGGGAUUAGGUAGUUGGUGAGGUAAAGGCUCACAAAGCCGAAGAUCUCUAGCUGGUCUGAGAGGAUGACCAGCAAAACUGGGACUGAGAAACGGGCUUGACUCUGACGGUAGGCAGCAGUGUGGAAUAUUGCACAAUGGGCGCGAGCCUGAACCAGGCAUGCCGCGUGUGUGAAGAAGGCUUUCGGGUUGUAAAGCACUUUCAGCUAGGAGGCGUUACUCGCAGAAAAAGCACCGGCUAACUCCGUGCCAGCAGCCGCGGUAAUUC